GAUGAACGCUAGCUACAGGCUUAACACAUGCAAGUCGAGGGGAAACGAUAUUGGAAGCUUGCUUCCGAUAGGCGUCGACCGGCGCACGGGUGAGUAACGCGUAUCCAACCUGCCCACCACUUGGGGAUAACCUUGCGAAAGUAAGACUAAUACCCAAUGAUAUCUCUAGAAGACAUCUGAAAGAGAUUAAAGAUUUAUCGGUGAUGGAUGGGGAUGCGUCUGAUUAGCUUGUUGGCGGGGUAACGGCCCACCAAGGCGACGAUCAGUAGGGGUUCUGAGAGGAAGGUCCCCCACAUUGGAACUGAGACACGGCCCAGACUCCUACGGGAGGCAGCAGUGGGGGAUAUUGCACAAUGGGGGAAACCCUGAUGCAGCGACGCCGCGUGGAGGAAGAAGGUUUCGGAUUGUAAACUCCUGUCGUUAGGGACGAUAAUGACGGUACCUAACAAGAAAGCACCGGCUAACUACGUG
rnacentral:rRNA from 1 species